rnacentral:rRNA from 1 species
ACCUAAAUACUGACACGAAUUAUAGUUAUAAUAUCUAUAUAAAGGUGGACUUGGAUGUAAUACUGAUUCAAAAUUAAAAUGAAAUUGAAUCUAAGACAUGCACACAUCGCCCGUCACUCUUACCCAAAGGCAAGAUAAGUCGUAACAAAGUAGGUGUAACGGAAGUUGCACCUGU